ACAAGCGGUGGAGCAUGUGGUUUAAUUCGAAGCAACGCGAAGAACCUUACCAGGUCUUGACAUCCCGAUGCUAUUUCUAGAGAUAGAAAGUUACUUCGGUACAUCGGUGACAGGUGGUGUAUGGUUGUCGUCAGCUCGUGUCGUGAGAUGUUGGGUUAAGUCCCGCAACGAGCGCAACCCUUAUUGCUAGUUACUAUCAUUAAGUUGGGGACUCUAGCGAGACUGCCAGUGAUAAACUGGAGGAAGUGGGGAUGACGUCAAAUCAUCAUGCCCCUUAUGACCUGGGCUACAAACGUGAUACAAUGGCUGAAACAAAGGGCAGCGAAGCAGUGAUGUGGAGCGAAACCCAAAAAAGCAGUCUCAGUUCGGAUUGAAGUCUGCAACUCGACUUCAUGAAGUUGGAAUCGCUAGUAAUCGUAGAUCAGAACGCUACGGUGAAUACGUUCUCGGGGUUU
rnacentral:rRNA from 1 species